GAGACAGCAAGGUGGAUAUCAGGCUUGAUUGUUACUGUCUUACUCAUCACUUCUCUAUCACACCCUUCCCACGGAACUUUGCCAGUGCCUGUGCUACAUUAAUCGCUUUUGAUUUUUAGUUAGAACCUUCUCCAGCACAAUAUUUCAGACAAGGUUCCUAUGGGCAGAUUGUACUGACUCAGUCUCCAGAUUAUGUCUCUGUGUCACCAGGAGAAACUGUCACCCUCACAUGUAAAGCAAGUAGCAGUGUUGACGACAUAUUAGCCUGGUACCAACAGAAAUCAGGGCAGGCACCAAAGCUGAUCUAUUGGGCAAGUACCCGACACACAGGGACCCCAGAGCGGAUCAGCGGCAGUGGGUCUGACAUUGACACCAUUCUUACAAUCAGCAGAAUGGAAGCAGAAGAUGCAGCAGAUUAUUACUGUGGGCUAUAUGGAAAGUUACGCAGUGAUACAGAGCUGAACAAAAAAACCUCUCUGGCAUAACUUCCUGUUACUUGAGAUGCCACUGUCAGCCGUGAUGCCUAAAAUGUCAAAAGUCAAAAGCAUGACGGGUGCAGUGUCGAUUCCGCACCACUCCCUUUUGCCCCCACCAUAUACCUCCUACCCAAUAACACACAGGUACACCACUGGUUUUGGAAAGAGAUGGCCGCGGCUGUUUAUUAACAGAAUAAUAAUAAUUAACCUGUAUAACAUUUUAACAUUUUACACACCGUUUGUAUAACAAACUUUUAACAUUCUUUCUAAUAUUAAUUCCCCAUCUGAGGGAAAGAAGAAUGGGGGUGGGGAUGGCUGUACCCAAACUGCCAAGGUAGGUUCCUGUUCCAUUUCUCCCAAGCCCCAAACUGGGCUGUCAACCUUCCCAUGGGGACCCAGGCCUACCAAGCUACUUCCACUCCCUAUGAAAUACCCCCUUUUAACUUCCCCUUGUAAAAUACCCU